rnacentral:rRNA from 1 species
UGGAUCCAGACUUUGAUUAUGGCUCAGGAUGAACGCUAGCUACAGGCUUAACACAUGCAAGUCGAGGGGAAACGACAUCGAAAGCUUGCUUUUGAUGGGCGUCGACCGGCGCACGGGUGAGUAACGCGUAUCCAACCUGCCCACCACUUGGGGAUAACCUUGCGAAAGUAAGACUAAUACCCAAUGACGUCUCUAGAAGACAUCUGAAAGAGAUUAAAGAUUUAUCGGUGAUGGAUGGGGAUGCGUCUGAUUAGCUUGUUGGCGGGGUAACGGCCCACCAAGGCAACGAUCAGUAGGGGUCCUGAGAGGAAGGUCCCCCACAUUGGAACUGAGACACGGUCCAAACUCCUACGGGAGGCAGCAGUGAGGAAUAUUGGUCAAUGGACGAGAGUCUGAACCAGCCAAGUAGCGUGCAGGAUGACGGCCCUAUGGGUUGUAAACUGCUUUUAUAAGGGAAUAAAGUGAGUCUCGUGAGACUUUUUGCAUGUACCUUAUGAAUAAGGACCGGCUAAUUCCGUGCCAGCAGCCGCGGUAAUACGGAAGGUCCGGGCGUUAUCCGGAUUUAUUGGGUUUAAAGGGAGCGUAGGCCGGAGAUUAAGCGUGUUGUGAAAUGUAGACGCUCAACGUCUGCACUGCAGCGCGAACUGGUUUCCUUGAGUACGCACAAAGUGGGCGGAAUUCGUGGUGUAGCGGUGAAAUGCUUAGAUAUCACGAAGAACUCCGAUUGCGAAGGCAGCUCACUGGAGCGCAACUGACGCUGAAGCUCGAAAGUGCGGGUAUCGAACAGGAUUAGAUACCCUGGUAGUCCGCACGGUAAACGAUGGAUGCCCGCUGUUGGUCUGAAUAGGUCAGCGGCCAAGCGAAAGCAUUAAGCAUCCCACCUGGGGAGUACGCCGGCAACGGUGCAACUCAAAUGAAUUGACGGA